GCUACUCAGGAAACUGCCAUGGUGGGGGAGGGGGGCUUUAAGGAACCCCUGGUUGGUUCUGCUGUGUGAUGUCAUUUCCUUUAGGUAAAGGACUACUCAGCUUCAAGAAACAAGAUCCCAGCUGCUUCCUCCUGGCUCACAAUAGGCUUGAGGACAGUGCUGCCAACGGCACAUGGUGGAAGACGAGAAGCUCAUUUUUAUUGUCACUGUGACCAGACAUCUAACAGAACUUAAGGGAAGAAGGGCUUCUUUUGGCUCAUGGUUUAAAGGGAUUCAUCCAUCACCAUGUAGAAAGGCAUGGUAGCUGCAACGGUCUUAACUGUAAACUUGCCAUGGUGGAGAAUUAACCCUGGAAGAGUCUUAAAAGGGGAUUGUCUAGUUCAGUUGAAUCUGCGGGCACGUCUGUGGAUGACAGCCUUAACUGUUAAUUGGUGAAGGAAGACCUAGCCCACCGUGGGCAGCACCAUUCCCUAUGCAAGCAGCUCUGGGUGAUCCAAUACAAGAGAAAGUCAGGAAAUUUCCAGAAAAAUUCCACAUGUCUGUCCUCAGCGAAAACAUGCUACCACAUGUCUCCUUCAGCAAAAAAUAUCCUCUCGUAGACAGUUUCCAGGAAAGCAUCACGUGGCACAUCUGAGUCUCCAAAGAAACCAGACAAGUCCACGUCAGGGGAGACAAUGAUGAAGUGAAGUUUCCAGAGACAAAGAGGGUAACUCAGCAGCUUCAUCCCUUCAUACUCUGGCGAGGAUUGAAUUGUCAAUUCAACGUGACCUGGGAGGAAGAGUCUCAAUGAGAGAUUAUCUACAGCAGGCUGGCCCGUGGGCAGGUCUAUGGGGAGCCACCUGACUGCUUUAAUUGAUUUGGGAAGGCACAGCCUGAAAACUGGCAGUACUAUUACUUGCUUGGGGUGCUGGGUUGUUAAGAGUGGAGAUAGCUAAGUAUCAUUCAUGUGUUCAUCUGCGUUGUUGACUGUGGCUGUGAUGUGACUAGCUCCUUUAAGCCCCUGCUGCCUUGAGUUCUCUGUCACAGUGGACUGUAAACCCGAGAUGUGUGAGUUAAAAUAGCCCCUUUCUUUUCUAAUGUGCUUGUUUUGUUUGGUAAUUUUUAUCGUGGCAACCUGAUAGUAGGUUUUUUUUUUUUUUUUUAUAUCCAGUGGGAACUUCCUCUUUGAAGCAAAAUUCCUAGGCACAGGACAAGUAGUCACAUUGCUCCAUGGAGAAAACCCAGGAUGCAAAAGGAGGUUGUCCAGUCUUGACAAAGCCAGGAUUCUCAUCAACGCAGACUGGGUCCAAAUGCUUUUGCUCACACCACUACACUGGGGUGGUUAUCUUGUAAUAAGAAUCCAAGUAAUGAAGAGACUUUCCCAAUGUCACACAAGAUGGUGUUGCUGACGCCAAACUUGACUGUUAUGGUUUAAAUGUGAGAUCUUCCCCACCCCUCAAGCUUGGGUGUUUGAAUUCUUGGUGUUCGGAUGCUGUUGCAGAUGGGGGAGAUGGGUCAUCAUCAGUGGUUUGGCCAUGUAUCACUUCAAGUGGAACUUUCCGCUUCCUGCUCAGUGGCAUGCAGCACACAGCUGCCUUAUUCCUUUCAGCUACAAUAAACUGUACCCCCUUCAAACAAA